rnacentral:rRNA from 1 species
UACAGAGGUCUCAAGCGUUGUUCGGAUUCAUUGGGCGUAAAGGGUGUGUAGGUGGCGCCGUUAGUCGGGUGUGAAAUUUCGGAGCUUAACUCCGAAACUGCAUUCGAUACUGCGGUGCUUGAGGACUGGAGAGGAGACUGGAAUUCAUGGUGUAGCAGUGAAAUGCGUAGAGAUCAUGAGGAAGACCAGUGGCGAAGGCGGGCCUCUGGACAGUUCCUGACACUGAGACACGAAGGCCAGGGGAGCAAACGGG